UUUAUUUCAGCAAAAUGCUAACAUUUUUGGCUGAUUUAAUUUGCAGAGAAAUGUUAUGCUCAUUUGAAGCUUAGCUAGUAAUUAAGCAACAAGCUAGCUUUUUUGCUACCAAAGGUAAUGUAAAAAAAAUCCCUUUGAGAGAUAUUAGCUUCUAUUUUAUAUUUUUUCUUUUGUUCCUGCCAAAAAUAGACAUUAUUCAUAUUUAUUUAAAAAAAAAAAGAAGGUUAUAAAUGCAAAUCCAAAUUUCUUAAAGGCAAACGUAAGUCAAUGCGGCUCCUUUUAGGUUUUGAUCAGUAGAAAACGAGCCCAAAUGGCUCUUUUACUGUUAAAGGUUGCCGACCCCUGGUCUAGAGGAAAGAGACGUCGGAUGGAUUCAUAGAUGAAACGAUGGAUACAUGAUUAGAUGAAUUGAUGAAUGGAUACAGAAAUGCAUGAGUUGAUGGAUGAUAACUAUUUCACCUGUUUACCUAUUUUACUGUUUUAUGGUACAUUCCCAAGAUAAAUGUGAGUUUGUUUUUACUUGAUCUGUUUUGUAUAUAACAGAGGAAAAAAAGUUUUAAUUGGUAAAUGGUCUCGACCAAUAUGUGUUUGAAAUUGUCAGUUAAAGAAUAAAAUACCAUUUAAGAUUUCUGUAAUUUACACAACAGGCAAAACUUGCUUUUUUCUCUUGAGUCUUUUGAUACUCUAAAGAUAAAUGGAUCAUUUCAUGUUAACCACAGUUUUCAUCUUUUUAACUCCUCUUCCUUACAGAACCAGAUACAGUCAGUGACGUCACUGUUACUGAAAUCACCACGUCCUCUAUAUCUCUGAACUGGACCGAACCAUCAGGAAACAGCUCCCCUAAUACAGUAGAACAGUCAGAUGGACCAACUACUCUAAAUCCCAUUGUGACUGAAAAGAGCACCACUAUAUCUUACCAGACUACUGGUGUCCAGAACACCACAAGUGUCACAGACAUUACAGCAGAUAAUCAAACUAAAGAAAAUAGUUUAACUACCAGUUAUACACAACCAGAUACAGUCAGUGACGUCACUGUUACUGAAAUCACCACGUCCUCUAUAUCUCUGAACUGGACCGAACCAUCAGGAAACAGCUCCUCUAAUACAGUAGAACAGUCAGAUGGACCAACUACUCUAAAUCCCGUUGUAACUGAUAAGAGCACCACUAUAUCUUACCAGACUACUGGUGUCCAGAACACCACAAGUGUCACAGACAUUCCAGCAGAUAAUCAAACUAAAGAAAAUAGUUUAACUACCAGUUAUACACGUAAGUAAAGAUGGAUAACAGUUAAACUUGCUGAGAUAUGUGUGCAAACAAUAACCUUAAAUUAGUCCUAUGCCUAUUUUGGAAAUAGAAAUUCAGGAUUAAAUUAAACCAAAUGAGCCAUUUUUCAAAAGAAUGACUCAAUAUCUUACAAAAUGUGAAUCACAUAGAAGGGUGGGAACAUUUAAUUAAAAAUGUUUGAAUGUUUUUUAAAACAGUGACACCAAAAAUAAACAUUCAAAUUGAAGAACAAAAUGAAAUGUACCUAAAAAAAAUCGUUUAGGUCAGUGGUCCCCAACCACCGGGCCGCGGACCGGUCCGUGGACUCCUCGCCACCGGACCGCGGGAGAAUUUUUUUUUUUUAUGAGACGGAAAUAUUUUAUUUUGAAAAUCGACCGGAUUCUCUCGAUUAGCUUGAGCGCUAAAAGCAGUUUGGCGGUGUGUAACACGUUUGCAAAUGGAUUAGAUAAGUGGGACAGAACAGACGCAAGAACCGGUGAUUCCCGCACACCGAGCUGGUCUGCAGAGAGAUGUGACUUUCAUGAACGAAUCUAAUCUUUUGAGCGGUCAUAGAAAUGCUGAAAGGAGCUGAUCUAUACAGAUUCUCAUUUCAGGGAAGUUGUGAACACGCGAUUGAUUAAUACAGUGUUUCUCAAAUGGUGGGGCGGCUCUGUGCGAUGGCAAGGGGGGCGCAGGACAACCCGAGGAUCGUGCAAUUUAUGUUAGUUACUAAACAGUCGAUCGGAGGACCGCGUCAGUUGUGAUAUCCACACUCAGAAAGGAGAAUAUUUAACUAAACCUAAAGAAUUGCAAUGGAAAAAUGUUAAACAGAGAUGAAAAGAAACUGAGAGAAAGAAAGACGGAAAGCUGGGCACUGCGCGUGUGUGUUUGGGGGUGGGGCUUGCACAUGCAGAAGCGCAGGACGGAGAGAGAGAGAAACAACAUCAACACAAAACGUAAAGAAAAUUAGAUCAUUAGAAAAGAAGGAAAAAAACUGGAACCAUUCGACUUUUGAUAGAAUGAAGGAAGAGAAUCUGCAGGAAAUAAUUGUCUAUUCUAUAUAUUUAUGGGUCCACAACCAACCUGUGCAGAAUCUUCUCUAAAUCAGAACAGAUCUUUAAGAAACCAGAUUACAUCCUCAAAGCUGAG
ensembl:lncRNA